GAUUAGACUAGGCCGGGAGGUUAGGCGCCUCCUGUUACCUCAAGCCGUCUUAAGAGGGGCCAAAGCCUGGAAAGCGGUUAAAUGUCUACAUGGCGGCGUCCCUACGACGUUGAAGCCAUGUCCUACAGGAUUGGCGGCGGAGUAGUCCAUUUUGGAAGAGAUGGACAAAUCCUUCACCUUUCGAACUCCGCUAGGCCCGGAAGGGAGCAACGGUAGGGAGGACGUUUA
rnacentral:SRP_RNA from 1 species